rnacentral:rRNA from 1 species
GACGAACGCUAGCGGCGUGCUUAACACAUGCAAGUCGAACGGAAAGGCCCUGCUUUUGUGGGGUGCUCGAGUGGCGAACGGGUGAGUAACACGUGAGUAACCUGCCCUUGACUUUGGGAUAACUUCAGGAAACUGGGGCUAAUACCGGAUAGGAGCUCCUGCUGCAUGGUGGGGGUUGGAAAGUUUCGGCGGUUGGGGAUGGACUCGCGGCUUAUCAGCUUGUUGGUGGGGUAGUGGCUUACCAAGGCUUUGACGGGUAGCCGGCCUGAGGGGGUGACCGGCCACAUUGGGACUGAGAUACGGCCCAGACUCCUACGGGAGGCAGCAGUGGGGAAUAUUGCACAAUGGGCGGAAGCCUGAUGCAGCAACGCCGCGUGCGGGAUGACGGCCUUCGGGUUGUAUACCGCUUUCGCCUGUGACGAAGCGUGAGUGACGGUAAUGGGUAAAGAAGCACCGGCUAACUACGUG